GCUUCAUUUUCGACGCCGAGUUUUCGAUGCCAAGACGAAGGUAGGUGAAAGAGAAGACCCCUCGAACAAGAACGAGUCUCCAGAAGCGAUCGAGUCGAGCAGGAAGACGACUUUUGAAUUUCGCCGAGCGAGCGCUGAUGACGUAAUGAGGGAUUAGCUUGCCAGUGGAAAUGCAUCUGCGCACAUACAUUUCACAUACUUUUUGGCCAAUUUUCAAUCGAAGAGGACGUUGUUUUCUAUUUUCUCUCAACGUCGUGAGCGAUCCCGUCUUCUAUACCCUUCCAGGUACCCUGAAGGUCCUCCAGAGGAGAAUUUAUCUCCAGCGAAGCGUUGUUGAUCCGCUAAAUUCCUCUCGAGACAUAUUCACCCAGUGCAGUGCUGAUAAAUGUAGAAUGUUGAAUCUGUGAUAAUUGUUGACGAUGGAGAGAGAGGCUGAUAGCCGCUGUCGCAGGGAGAGUGAAGCUGCUGGAAGUAACAACGGGGCGCCCGUUUGUAUCACCUGAACAACCAGACUUCAAAGCAGCUUGACCAAAUCGGAGGGUGCCUCGCUGCUUAUCGUGAAUAUUACACCGACAUGAAUUACUACAAGUACACUGGUCUGUCCAAUAUGCAUUGACGGUAUUGGGUAUGGUAUCUGCUCUGAGAAGGGAAUCGCUGGAGCCACAGUCCAAUUAUACAGGCUUUCAAGAAACAGAGAGGAGCCAUCUUUCCAAGCUGAUACCUGAUGUGUACCGACGGAAUUCUCACGAGAUACCUUACGGGCUACGUGUGGUGUGUACUUCAUAGUACUCCUUCGACUACUAUCUAGAAUCAAGUCGACUGAAACAAGUUCAAACAACUCUGGCUUCAAACGAGCCGUCGAUUAGACAAACAAAACAUUCUCUCAUAUACUGGAGCACUCUGACAACUCACGACCUAUUCCUAACGAUUGCCACCGCUUAUAAAAUAUGUAGAGUGCUGAUUGGAAUGUGCUCACAAGCUCAACAAUUCAGUGCUAUAAUUAUUUGAACAAUGUGUUAGAAAUUAUUCCACUUUUCCUUUCAUAAAUGUUGUAUACACAUAUAAUCCACAGUGCUCCAAAGUUUCAGAGUUCUCAGGGUAGCAAACAAAAUUAUUUCAAAUACAGUGAAAUUGUUCAUGGACAUUAUAGCGUAGCUAAUUUACUUGUAGUUCCCUGGUCCUUUUCUUUGCUACAUGUAUAAAUUAAUCCUUUUCUCUCUA